rnacentral:lncRNA from 1 species
AAUACUUGUAAGUAUGUUAGUUUCAUUUUAGUGAUUUGUUUUAGUUACAAACUAUAAUCUUAUCUCAAACUACAAUGUUAUAUUCAUAACCAUUUUAUCUUAAAUGUCUGUUUCCUAUUCUAGUUGCUCACAUCGCUGGAGUCUUCAUUGGGAGGUCACAGCAUGUGAUGGGGAAGGAAGGGGACAGGAACAAGCAAGCGUUGCUUUGGCAUGUCACCUCAUGAAUUUGCUGUCUUCAUCCAUUAACAAGGUCAAAACUGGAGCAAAUUCCUUGCUGGUCAGCCUUGGCCCUGAUCGGCUUGGGCGCCUCUGCCCAGUUCCUUCCAGUUUUCCUGACCACCUCCCAGGCGGUGAGUGGGGGAGGGGGUCUUGAGGCUGGAGGUAAACUCUAGCAGCACAUGGGCUCCUGGAUAAUGAGCACAUCCUUCACAGCUUACCCUUUCCUGAUGACUAUGAACAGUAAUAAAAAUGUGAGCAAACAGGGAGAGUUUAGUGUG